GCCUACAUGACUUAUUAAAGAACAAUAUAUAUAUGCAUCAUUGUGCAAAGUAGAAUGACGUGCAGGAAAAUUAAAUAGCAAAAUAAAAUAAUCAAAAGCAAAACAAAAUAAUAAAAAUAAAUAUAUUACCAAAGUAACUAUGAAGAACGCUAGCUGAAGCCUUGCCAAAAAGACUGUGUGACGAGCGUCACACAAUCUAUGACGAACGGCACGCCAAGUACUUGUGACGCCCGUCAUGCAUCUGUAACGAGCGUAACACCCUCCAGACUAGGUGAACGUUACAGUGCCGUUGGAGACGAACGUUACACCCUUCAACUUUUUAUCUUCCCCAUUUAUUCACAUUUACCCACAUUUAUUUACUUUUCAACCACCUCCUUUCCAAUUUCCAAAUUUCUUUC
rnacentral:lncRNA from 1 species